GGGUCAGCCCUGGCUGCGCCGCGGCCGGGGAGCGGCCACAGCCGGUGCGGGGACAGCGCGGAGCCGGGGCCGGACCGGGGGGUGCGGGGAGCGCGGGGCCGCUCGGAGCCGGGGGGUGUCCGGGGGGCGGGGGGGGGGGGGGGGGAGGCGGGGGCCGUCCCGUCGGUUUCCGCGGGCGGGGGCGUAGGGCCGGGGGGAGCGGCCGGGGGAGCUCGGCGGCCGCCGUCUUACGACAGAUCCUGGAAAGAGGAUCAAGGUGGGGCCCGCCCCGCCGCGCACCGCCGGCAACCGACGGGGCGGCCCGGGCUCGGCCGCUGGGAGCACGGCGGAGAGCUGCAGGCGGCGAGGCCCGGAGCGGCGAGCUCCAUCCAGCGCGGGCAGAGCACUCCCUGCAGAUGUGCCCCAAGCCACGGCCUGCUCCUCGCUCCCAGAUGAAUGCUCAGGUUCCUCUCACCUCCUUCUCUGGAGCUGAAACUAGAAACCCAAAAGCUCCACAGCGCUGGAUUCCGUGCUCCAUGAGCCCCAAGGCUCCGGCAUCCUGCCAGACCUGACGCCAAACGUUUUAUGGAGGGUGAAAAGUGCAGCAGAUAAAGGACGAGCAUUUAGAGAGACAAUAUUCUCCGCGAGAGGCACUUUCACAGCGACUGCAGAGCUUUCGAAAAAUAAUCUCAAGUUCCUUCGAGCUGUAGAUAUUUUUGGGAAGAGGGUUAGGGUAUUUUUCUACCUAAAUGGCACUUGAGGAGGAUGAGUCGCCCACUGCAGCCGGUAUGUGAAAUUUCAAGAACUGGAAUGGUUACAGAGAGCAGAUUUCUGUGCUCGUGGUGGAAGCCCACAGCUCCUCAUGCAAGAUUUCCAGUUGGGUUUUAAACAUGGGGAUGCCGGCACUCAUUUGCUGUGGUGUAAAGGCACUCCCUCCUAUUCCGCCCUGAAAGCUGCAGCAUGUUGCUGGUGUCAGGCCCACCACGUGCCUUACAUGGAACACACGCUUUCCUGUGCAGGCCAGAGUACAUGCAUUUGUGAAUGUAUUUAGGCAGAACGAUUGUGUAUCUUCACUUACGCAAGCAGCACAUCUGUGUAGGUCAGACCAAAAGCAUUCGCUGAGAAAACACUGUAUUAAAAUUCCUGGGUUUGGGCUCUCAUUCCCAGGGUUACGGGUUGCUCAAUAGUGACCCCUCUGUCAGCCUCUGCCUCCACAAAGGGAAGCAGGAACGAAAUGCAAUCUGCGUGUUCACAGCACCUACCAGCCCCGCAGCGCAUGCCAUGCCUGGAGUCCACAGCACCCACAGCCUUCGGGAGUUCCGGAGGAGAUAAACCUCUUUUGUUCCCAUUUCAUGCCUAAGACCUAUUUCUUCCCCUCUUGUGAGGUUGCCUUGGUUAUUGGGUUUCCUUGUAAGUUCGCCUUUAGGAAGAUAAGGUGAUGAGAGGACAGCAGCGUGUGCCCCCGUGUGCACCUCGCAUGUGUCGGGAGGAUUAUGAGCUUCUGACGUUCAUUUUCUUCUGAGUUCAUUUUAAAAGUAUAAUAUUACAAAGCAAAUAAUUCUGGCACCACUUGUAGCACUUCUGACACGAAGUGGAUCUCUGGACAGCGAGGAAAGCUACCGAGUGGCUGUGGGCUGCCUCUCUGGUGCAGAGUGAUGAUGAUGAGGAAGCUGGAAUGGACUGGAAUUUGGGUUUGAUUCAAAGGGAAAAGUUGGAUGUGCGGGGAGAGCAGAUGUCCAGCUGGUCCAAAUCAGAAGGUCCGUGCUGAAGUGCAUGCAGCAACACAAAUGAUGUCACCCAGGAUGAGCCUCGUCUGCUCCUCUAAGCACCUUCAGGCUCUCCAGCCCCAGCAGCGCAGGUGGGAACCUAUGCAGCAGAGGUCUCCUCCUUCCAUCCCCUGCGAGCAGAUCUCAGCAUCACUGAGAAACACCACACAUCCCAGCAAUUCCAGCUCCAAACAGAAUUCAUUCCAUCUAUUUAGCCCAUUAUUUUAAAGAUGACGUUGUUUUAAGCAAACUUGUUUUCUAAACACAGACCCAAUUCUAUGAAGUGCUCAGAGCUUGCAGGAGCACUCUUAAAAUCAAGCCCUGUGUUGGGUGCUAGCUGGAAAACCACAGCCCAUCUGGUGGGCUCCUUGCUCACAAGAUUGCUUCAAGCUCUCUGUACGUCAUGCAUUAUUAUGUAGCUCCAAAUCCUGAUGUUAGACAUAAAUAUGGAGUCUUGACAGAAGUGACAUUUGAAGCUCAAGUCCAGAUUUCAGGUUAAGGACCUGUCCCUGUGCAGUUCAUCUGCCCACUGUUGCCUCCAGAUUAGGGAGGAAGGCUGCUGGGUUAAUUUGUCUUUUGAUAAUUGCCACCAUGCCUCGUUUCCACUUGGUGGCCUGGCCUCAAGAAAUGGAGCAGCCAGUGGGAAGAACUGCUUGGAGAGGUGUGUGCAGGAGGGAGAUACCCUCCAUGGAAAUGCUGUGUUCUGGAAUAGGAGAAAACCAGAAGAGUCUCAGAGGGAAUCUCAAGCAUCCCUCCAGAGCACACUGCAUGGGACUGCUUUGGUACCUGGUUGGGAAAUCACCACCGCUUCCAUCCCGCUCACCUGGGGCUGCUCCAGGCUGCCAACACUGCUGCGUCCUUCCCAGAAAAACCUCUUUGGAACCAUCAGCUUUUGAAGCAGACACAGAGUUCAUGCGUUGGGCAGAUACUAAGAAAAGUCCCUGACCAAGGAAAUAACAAAUAAAUACAACCCCCCCCCCUAAAAUACAGUUGGCUGUAUUGGCUGCCAGGGUGAUCUGGAAACAUGAGCUAGAACAUCUCACUAAAAAGGCAGUAGGCAGCGUAAGGUCUGAUGGGGCUGUGCAUGAAAUGUUCAGCAAGAGGAGAGCAGGAUGAGAACUGCUGCAGCCUGAGACGUGAGCUGAGGAUGUGAUUCCUCCUCACCGGAUGCCUGGAAGAUGUCACGGAGAUUCUCUCAGAGCAACCCGUGUGGAGCCAAUAUGAACUCCCAGCAAAGUGCUUAAAAACCCAUUAUUUAUAAUAACUGUUAAAUGAUGAGACAUUGUUUACCCAGAUCGCAAGAUAAAUUCUCACUUACAGAAUGCUUGCCUGACUGUCCUGAACGUCAUCUGGUUUUUAUUUAAAUGCAAAAUGUAAUUAGGCUCCCAAUAACACAGCAGAAGAAUUCAAUAAGAUAGGGCUUUUCACUUACAGUUUAAUAUUAACAUUUUCCCAUAAAUGUUAAUGAAUAAAAGUCUACCGUUUUAUGUAUUAUCCAUGGUGGGGAGACAGCUGGCUAGGAAUGGAAGGAAAGAUAGUGUUUUCAUGCUGUGAAUUAGGAUGGAUACCUGGAGGAGAGCUAAGCAUUCCAAGCACUGCCGUGGGCUGGCACAGCACUGCCUGCUCCUGGGGCUGCCACUAAACCUGCUCCCAUGGGAGCCAUGCAGGAGAUGCUGCCCCAGCAAAAAUCCCCCUUCUUUUUUCUUUCUUUUCCUUGCUGCCUCUCCCUGCUCCUCGUGUUCUGUCUGACCAGCACCAGACAAGCAUCAGAUAGUCAACAACAGAGCUGUUAAGCAAGGACAAGGCCCCCAGCCCUGAUACUCUGAGACUCCAAUGCGGAUAGCGAGGCUAGAUUAUCAGAGCAAUCAGGUUACUAUUUGUCUGAUACUCCGUUAGGGAAACGCAGGGGGUGAUGAGAGGCGAUGGCAGGAACGCAGUAUGAUGAUAGGAAAUGAUACAGAAGGAUGGAAGAAGGCCUCAGAGUCACCGAGGUGGCACUCCAGGAGCCUGCUGAGCAACUGCUGCCUCCUGGAGCCGAGCAGCAGAUGUGGCGAUGGACCUCUGCAGGCUGAGAGCUGCAGGGCCGAAGGGCUGGAACACACUGGAACGUUUUAAUUGCUCCAGCUUCUGACCUGGAGUUUACCGAUGGGAGUUUCGCUGUGCUAAUGCAUAUUUUGCUGUUUGGUGACUCAUCCUUCAUUGCAUCUCUCUAAUAAGAAGCGUUCAUUGAACGGCUUGACUACUUAACAAUUUGUUGCAGAAAUGGGUUUCCGUGCUCCAGUCUCCUCUCCUGUUUCCCCUGAUGAGAGCUCUGCCACGACUUUGGCCAUCUUGCUUCCCCAACCAAGGGAACAGGAGAUGCCCUCAGCAUCGGUGUGACACUGAUGUCCUACGUGGGCAGGACAGAGAGUGGGCAGAUUGGCCAUGUGCUGUUUCGAGAUAACGAAAGGCUUGAACUUCCAAAGAGUUAAUGCCAGAUGCAUGGCAGAUCUGCACCACACAGCAAGCAGAAACAGGAGCAGAGUGUACCCAACCAUCCCCGACCAGCAGAACACCCCCAGCCUCCAUCCCAGAGCUGCUCCAGGGCUUCUGGCUUUGGGAGGACAGAGAGGACUGUCUUGUCCUCGUUCUGCCAUCACGUCAGCAGCUGCAACAAGCUUUGGCUCACAAACAGCUGUGAAAAUACCCGCUUCGCACGGUGGGAGAUGGGGGAUCUUGUACUUACUAAGAAAUACAUGCUUGCCUUAAGUUGUAUCCUACACAGAAAUACAACGUGAGGACUGUAAAAGGAACAGCAGGGUAAUUACAGAAAUCAGAGAUGGAAAAAUCCCACGUGGCCGUCUCGCCUCCCGCACCCUGCUCAGUGCAGGACUCCUCGGUGUGGGGCAUGCUUCAGAACUCUGGCUUUUAAAGGGAACAUGUAACAAACACUUGAGAAAUGUUUCUAAAUAUUUAGAAAUCCCCAAAUAAGAGACUCCCAAGCCAAGCUGUACAAACAGAAAAUCAAUUAAAACAAAAAAAAACCUGUUAAAAAUCCACAGCUUUUGCAUGCACCAAACCACAUCUCUCUGAACAGUAAGCAUCAAAGCAUCACCUCAUGGUCAGGACACUGCAAACAGUGCUGUUAGGAUGCGCAGCCCUCUGCAGAAUCAGCCCUAAAUGAAUACCUACCGUGCUUUCCUCUUGCUUCCACUGAAAUCAAUAGCAGAAGCCUCAGUGAUGCAAAAAGCUUAAUGCUUUACAAGGUGCUCAGCAAAACACUCAUACGUGAGCAAAACCAAGCUAGAGAGAAGGGACAUUUUUCUGUGAAGUGCUGGAGUAUUGCAGAAGGAAAAUUAAUUUGCUUAAUCAUUAGUAAGGAAAACCACAACCCAAACCAAACCAAACCCCAACAUAAUAACAAAUCUCUAUGGAGAAAGGGAAUUGUUUCUCUGUGAACUACUUGGAGACAAAGCACUGGAAGAAAAAUGUCCAGUUCCAAUAAUGUCAUAACCUGAUUACAGCCUGCACAGGAGAGCUAAAACACUUGCAGAACAAUGAGUAAGAAAUUAAGUUUUAAAUUGAGUGCUGGCCCUAUCUGGUGUCACUUCUUUAUAUUCCAGCAGAAAGGACACUGCUGAGCUCAUUUCGCAUACAGCAGCCCGAGAUGCCUGGGUACAGACAUCAUUUAGUCAUCCCGUGCAUGUUUCUCCCCAUUACUUUCUCUGGGAGGAAUGACAAAUCUAGAAAUGUGACUGCACUUUGUUUUAUUAUGGUAUUGAUUUUUCUGCAAAGGGAAACUGCAUUUAUCCCCCAGGUCUGUGUGCUGGCAAGAAAGGGUUAACAAAAUGUUUAUCACAAAGCUGGCUUCAGAGUUGAAAGUAAUGUGAUCAGUAAUGAAUUUUGUGUUACAUUAGGUUGUAUAAAUGGACAGACAAGCGCAGACAACAAGUGGCCAGGAGUCGGGGCUAAUCUAAUGAUGUAAAAAUAGAGACAGCACCAAUUAUACUUGGGGCCAGCUCAGAGCUCCUGCAGGGACUGCAAAUGAAUAGGUACAAAUCAAAUUACUGACUAAUAGACGCACUACAAGAGAGGGCAGUCAAUGCUAAAUACAUUAGGGCCUUGUGACCUCUCUGCUCUGAACAGCAGAAUCCUAAAUUUGACUUAAAAAAAAAAAAAUCAAAGGAACUCUUGUUCAUUUAAGGAGAGAAACAGAACAAUGUUAUUUGCGACAUGAUUUGAAACGCUCAGAUAUUUUUUGUUUUGCUCCCCUACGACCACGCUAUGUGCGUAACCCCUGGAAACCUGACAGAGGGUUUGCUUUUAUAGCAAGGAGAAAUAGCCUUUGUGCAGAAGUUCAGACCUGAGAACAAUACAGUCAUGUUACAUACCAAAACAUUUCAAAGCCAUGUGCCUCUUUGCGGUGAUGUUUUUUACUGCUACUUCACCGGCUGUUUCUGUAUCAAAAAUAAAAUAUUUCUUAAAAAGUGCCUUGAUUGAAUGAGAAGAAAGAUACCAGGAAUCUCCCCAAACCACGAGCAAGAGGAAAUAAGCACAGCCGACCAACUUGUUAUCAAAGAGCAGAAAGUCAGAUGUCUCUCAGCAUCAGUGUGCCCCUCAGAAACAGCAGCGGGUAUUUUCUAUGAGCAGCAAUGAACCUGAAUUCACACCGAAGACAUCUGUGGUAGUGACAUUCCCUCCCCCGCCCACCGAAUGGACGCACCGAUGGGCCCAGAGGAAAUCCCACUCCGAGCCCUGAGCUGGAUGUGGGCCGCAGGCAGCCCCAGCUGAGGAGCGGAGCAUCAGGGCAGCUGGGGACUGGGCAGUUGUGGGGUCUGAAUGCACCCAGUGGCCCACAGAGCCCUGCAGUGGGGCUGGCAGUUGUGUGGGCAGGGCAGGAGGAGCCCUCGGUGCCUCUGGUGCUGCACCUCGCAUGUGGGAAACGAGCGACAAAAGCACACCGAGAUGUGUGCAGCACAAACGCUGCUCUUCUUACCCAGCACUUCAAACAUGGCGGCUCCUCAAGAGCCCUGAAGCUUCAUCUUUUUUUUUAAAGAGUCUCAUCCAAAUAAACCUUUUGUAGGAAGAACAUUGAGCUCUUAGACUUAAUUGAGGGGGUAAUUUAAUCUCUGACCCUGGGAUGAAUAUUCUGAAAGUUCAAAGGCUGCUUUUAGCAUCAAUGUUAUUUGAUAUGCCACUGUGUUUGCUGCCGGAGCUGAUUUUGCAUUGAACCUAUGCAGAAAUCUCUUUGCAGAAAUGCUUUUCAAAGGGAAAACCAAUUGAUCUGUGCUCUUGUAUUCUCCACGUCUGAGUUAGGACCGAGACCAACUGAAGGGAGAGAGGGGAAAAAAACCUUAGGGAGAUUAGAAGGAAGAGGAAAGAAAGGAGGAAGAAAGGAAGGAAGGAAAAGCACCAAGUGAAGCUUUUGCUUGCCAAGCUCAGAGGUGCCAAGAGCUGCGUGAGGCUUUGGGCCGUGGCAUCCAUCUGAGGGACGGCCGCAGCUCGGCCCUGUGUGGCGGCCGGGAGCCAGAGCGGCCUGAACGCGGCUCCCAGCGCUCGGACGGGCAUUCCCUACCAGCAACUCUAAUUAGCUCCACUUACUUACACCCCAUUAAUCAGGUUAAAGAGUUUGCUUCAACAUAUGAGCCUCCUUCAUUGCAUUAGGAGUUUGUUGAUGACAUCUGGAAGGAAUCCAGAAGGUUCCUACGCAGGGCCUGCGCGGGGCUCUGCUGUGCUCACACCUCUGCUGCCAUUGACGUGCCACUGCUGGUAGCUGACGUUGUUUUCAGGAGUUUUGAAAGUGAAAAUAAAUAGAUUUUUUUUUUUUUUAAAGGAAACUUUAUAAAGGGCUCUAAAGACCUUGCUUUACAUGAUGUAGCAAGUCUUUGGCUCUUGUGGGUUUUAUUCAUCCCAAUGUUGCCACAGUUGCAUCUUUCCCUGUUCAGAACUAACAGCAUGGGUUCUGAGAUGCAAAACUUCAGAGUUCCUGGCAGAAAAAGCAGAGGUUGACAGCUGCAGCAGCACAAGCAUUGCACACAAAGUCUGCAGCAUUGCCUGUCCUGGCAGUAACCUGCACAGAGAUGUUUACUUAUUGUAUAUACUGACAAUCCUCCAUUGGAAAUUCGGGUGUUGUGUGAAGUCUCCUGAAGAAUAAAUCUACCCUGCUGCCACUGUGCUCUGUGCUUUGUAGUAAUAAGCCGGGAAAGAUGUAGGGAAUGGGUUUCGAUUUGCUAAGCCAUGUGACGGUGGAGCACACCCAGUGGAACACAGUGGAGCCAGGCUGACAUCCAGCCUGAGGGAGCACCUCUUCUUAGGGCCACAGCUGCAAGGUUUCAUGCUCCCUUCUGCUGCUCUGCAGCCAGCAAGUUCAGAUCCACUGCUUUUCUUUAAGGCCGGCCUACACCUAAAGUGGACGUAGCAAAAGACUUAAUGAAUUUGGGUUCCUGGGAUGUACACAGACCCUUCCGUGCUAUACCUCCAUGGAAAGGAACCACACCAGCGGGACGGUGGAAGAGGAAUCUGUCUUGUCAGGUUCAGCACAUGCACAGAAAUGGGGCUGCAGAAAUUGUCCUCCAUAGGUGUAUUUCAGAACACAUCCUCUCCACCAGACUGCAAAGGCCUGGCCCCAUGUUACAGCUGAUUUUCAGUACUGUGCCUAGAGAUGACCACCGUGCAUUUGAAAGUGUAAGAAAUGUGCUUGUUGUAGGACUACAUGAGUCAGAGGAUUUACUGAUUAUGGCAUUUUUGGAGGCAAAGAGCUCCAGCCUGGGCUGGAGAUUUCUGCAUGUCCUGUUUGAGAUCUGUCCCCUGGAAACACAGUUUCAUAAAUCACAAUACUAGCUUUGCUUUUGUUAUUGAAAAUGCAAUGUAGAGCUCCAGCACAUACUCAGAAACUAUACUGCAAAUGUAAACACUGUAGUUGCUUGAAAACAAAGCUUUGCAAGCAAGAGGUCACUGACCACUAACAUUUGGUGAGUAGAUUUUCGAUUAUUUUUUUCAGUUAGAGUUUGGCAGAAAGUGAAACAGCAAAAACAUAUUUUUGCAUCUUUGCCAAUUUAUGCCUCCUUUGGAAUUAAAUGUGUAUCUAGGCUGACAGCUUAUGUACAGCAGACUCCACUUAAGAUAGACAUGGGUCGUCUGGAUAAUUGCAUAACAAGGAGCAAAGCUGGUUUCCCAAUCAAGUCAACUAGCUGGACGACUGAAGUUAUCAUUUAGGUCACAAAGAAAGUAGACUUUUGGGGGGUCAUUUUCCAGACCUGAUUCUUCUCUCGUCCACUGUCCGACAGCCCCUGGCAACUAGCCGGAGUCAGGGAUGGGAAGGAGCAGUCAGGCCAUCUAACUCCCCUUCCUUGCAAAGGCUGGAUUACGACUCAUGCUUUUUGUGUCCUCCAGCUUGAUGUUGCCUAUAUAACCAACUUGUGGGUGAUUUCUGCCACAGCCAGUAGCUUGGAGCGCUGAACCAGUGAGGUGUUGCUGAUCCAGCUUUGCAAUGCAAUGGGGUAGGUAAGGAACAAAGAUACCAUUAAUAUCUGCUUCCCAAAGUGGUCUGGGUACUAUGAACAUGCGCUUCCUCUGCACUACUGUUGCAUAUCAGCCCUGAUUACUAUAUAAAUCUACGUGUCAGCUAUGUCCUAACAGUUAAGGCAUUAAAAGAAUCUAUUUAUCUCUUGCCAUUAAGUGCAUGUCAGGCUCAGCUGAGCACUUGAUAAAGUCUCAGUGUCCAUCCGAUUGCCCAUUUUUUCUUUGUCCACACUGUGGACCUGAGCACUAUGCAAGCACAUACUUUCACAUUCAGGGUUAGAUAUUUACCUAUGUUUCAGUUCAAAAAAGACUUUGUAAAUCCUACUAAUGUGUUUAAGGACUAAAAAGAGCUAAAGGAGCACAAAUAAGGGUUAAAGGCAUGCAAAACUCUGAGCUACAGUCAGUCAUUUUAGGAUUAUUAGAGUGAGGUUCAUAAAUUACAUAAUUUUGAGUCCAACGUAGAAAUGUAAUUACUGUCUUUGGAAGCAGUACCAACACAGAAAUCAACUACCAACAAGCAAAUUUAUGGCAUCUUCUCUGCUGAGCUCCUUGCUAUCAUUUCAUUGAGGUGAGUGGGUGGAAGGGAAUCCAAGGAAGGAAGAGCUAGGCCAGAAAACAGAAUGUUUUCCAAAGAUAAAUUCAAUUCAGCCUGCGCUUGUUAACAUGUAAGUGGUUUGGGGGAAGUUAAAACUAUCCUACUUGUUAGGAGCCAACAAAGACACCUCUUCUUUGAAGCAGGGGUAAUGUACCUCCGAACUUAUCUUUCCCCAUUUAUUAAGCAGCAGACAGAUGCUAGCGCUUUAAUGCGAUCCCCACUUUGACAAACGGCUGCUGGCAGCCUGCCGGGAGUGCAGUCACGCAUGCUGCAUGAGCACCAGUCGACUCCCUGGGCAAGUGCAGCUUUCCAGGUAUCAGCAGAGCAGGAGAGUACUUUUAUGGGCAUCUGGUUAAGAAGAACAGUUCAAGAGCUGCUAGGGGAUGGAAGUGGAAAGGGCAUGGGAGUUCACAGCCUUAUCACUAGGUUUUCUCGGCUGCACUGAGUCACCACAUGCCCAUAUCCUAAGAAUAAUGUACGUUAGUGAUAGAGAGAAUCCCACACCAGGCAGAAGAACACAGAGCAUAACGACAGUGUGAGCGGGGCAGUGGGAUGGGGUGAGCUGGGUCAGUGCUCAUGUUACUCACUACUGUGCAGUGGUGAUUACAUUUGCUGCUUUGAGAUGGCAUCUAUCUUACACUCAUGAUGAAGAUUUAUGUGUCUAGAGCAAUAGCAGGGGGAAAUCUUAGCUGAUUGAUGGCAUCUCUGUAUACAGUCCCCUUCUGCCUUUACACCUGCAGUAUUCUGAGCCUAAUCUUACAGCAAAGAAAUUGGCACUCAUUGGUGUCAGCUGGCUUGCACUGGUGAAAAUAGAAG
rnacentral:lncRNA from 1 species